UAACUACAUUGAUUAUAGGUGGCUUAUUCAAUGCGGAGUCUUCAUAUAGGUGUUUAACUAUUGUUCAUAAAUGCCAGCCUUGCUUCAUAAUGUUAAGUUGCAAUGUGGCUCUUUCAACAUUGUUGUCAUACAGAUUGUGAUAUUUGGUUUCUGUACAUAUCCUUGAGAACUACAUCAUAUCAUACACAGUUGUCACUUGACACAAUUAAGAAUCUUUGGAGUUACGUUUGUUUCACUCUCAAAUCCUUCCUGUGGGACAUUACAUAGUAAAGGCCCUCUUCGGCCUGCAGCCUUUAGGCAUACACACAUACAUUAUACAUACAGGAUAUAUGUGAGUGGCAUUCAUUGUUUAGGGUCGUCUACUGUCUAUUCCGGGCUGCUGCAUAGACGAUGACUUUGCUGGUGGUGAUUUCGAUCAGACGAGGAUGACCGUGAAUUGCAAAAAGCAGCAUCAAUAUAAUCUACCAAGUGCUAAAACAAUUUCCAGAGGCUUUAGUUUGGAUGCAGCUAAGAUCUUCUCAGCCCACAAUCACAUGCCUUCUGUGGGAUAUCUAUCUGUAAUGAUCUGAUCUGCAAGCUUAUAAGGUUGGAUGCUGGAUAUAUUACUUCAAAAGUCUUGUCAACUCUUCUCAGUUACAGGAACAUAAAGGACUUGAGAUGUAUGAUGCAUGCAUUAUGCAUAUUAGAGCAAUUGAAUGAACUAGCUGCUACCAAAGUUAACAGGAUGGAAGACCGAAUACACUGCAGGAAAUGUCUGCA